UUUUUUUUUGGUGUGGGCUAUUUUGAGUGUUUUGAGUGCAUACCAUUAUUGUUUAUUUUUGCUAAUCCUAACCAUCAUGCCAUGAGGAAGUGUGGUUAUUUGUCUCUCUUUGAUUUUGCAAGGCAUGGAUUCGAGGUCGAAUCCUUUUUAAGAAAGGGAGGAUGAUACAAGUACGACCACGAAAAUGGACGCAUUUGAGAAUGUAAUGAACCCGGGGCUUGGAGUGAGCGAGUGAAGGACUUAAAACACACCACCCUAACUCACACUUAGAGUGUAAAGAGGAGCCUUGGAACACAACAAGGCAACCCCUAAAUACACUUGAAGGGAGCCUAGCUCUUAAAAGGACAUUUUGGACAUUUUGUAUUUUAUUUGUAACCUAGUAUAAAUAGAACAUUGUAGGGAUUUUAGACUUAGAUUAUUCAUGAUGUUGUAAGUCUUGAAACAUAAAUAAACACAAGUCCUCUCUUCUUGAGGCACCAAAACUGAAAUUAGGCAUAGAGAGUGUGGAAUCACUCUUAUUGAUCUCAUGGCUUAGAAACAUAUGCUUGGGAGAUGAAUUCCGACCUUGUGUCUUCGUAAGAGAUAGGUGAAUGUUGUGUGUAGUGUUAAGGGUUCAAGAGUGGAAUAUGCUCUUGGGUUCUUAAGAUUAUACCUUCAUUAAGUCUAUCUUACUAUCCCUUUACUUUUAUUGUAUUCUUGUAGUAGUUUGUAUUCUUGUAACCAUUUCUAUCUCUUGUUAGUAAAAUCAUGUGUUGUUCCUAUCUUGUUAUUGUAGUCCAUCUCGCCAUAUUGUUGCUGUUUUGGUGUAUUUACACCUUCAAUAUCUUGUUGUUAUUGUGUUUUCAUUGUUGUUGUAGUGAAUCCAAGAGUGGUCACCAAAGGGGUCCUCGGUUCUUCAAACUUGUGGACUGAUUUGGUGUUUGUUUCGUGUUUCCCUUGUGCAUUCUUGUAUCACUAAGGAGGCUAACAAUGCUAUUAAUGGCCAGCCUACUAGGGAAGAAGUCAAAAAUGGUCUUUGAAUUGAAUGACAAUAGUGCUAGUGAUGGCAAUAGUGCUAGUGGUCUAGAUGGUUUUAUAGGUCCAUUAUUUUCAAAGUUGUUGUGACAUAGUGGGAAAAGAUGUUUUUAAGGUGGUGGUUACCUUUGUCUGAAGAAAAUGCUCUUCUCAAUUCCAUUACUCACACUAACUUAGUUCUCUUACCGUAAAAAGAUAUUGUAUACUCCUUUUAUGAUAUGAGGUCAAUUAUUUUAAGAAACAUUUUGAAUGAAUUUAUUUCCAAGGUAUUACUAUAGGGUUGAAGGGUUGCUUCCUAGGAUAAUUUCUAAAAACCAGUUAGGAUUUGUUAUUGGCAGAAGUAUUACUAAAAAUGUACUCCUUCUCAAAGAUAUUACUUAAGACAUUCAACUAAGAGGAAAACUUGCAAAUGUAGUGAUCAAACUAUAUAUGGCAAAGGCCUAUGAUGGAGUGGAUUAAAAAUUUCUGAGGCAAGUAUUAGAAAAGAUGGGUUUUGAUUGUGAUGUGAUUGAUAUAAUCUUUAGAUUGAUGGCUAAUAAUUGGUAGUCAAUUCUUAUAAAUGGUCAGGCUCAUGGAUUUUUCCAUUCUACUAGGUGGUAAAUUAAGGAGAUUCUCUAUCUCCUUUAUUCAAACUAUCUGCAGAGGUUUUGUCUAGAGCCUUUAACUCUUUGUUAUAUAAAUCAAACUAUAAGUGUUAUGGGAUGACUAAGUAGAGUGAGAAUAUUAAUCAUCUUUCAUAUACAGAUGAUACCAUCAUUUUUAGCUGUGCAGAUAGGUCAUCAUUGGAUUUAAUGAUGGGUAUACUCAGGGACUAUAUGGAAUAAUCUGGCCAAAUGCUUAAUAAGGAUAAGAGCUCCUUACUUAAAUAUCACAAGACUGCUCAUUUUCACAUUAGGAAAGUAGAGAAAAGUACUAGAUUAACCACAAAUAAAUUCCCGUUGAUAUAUCUAGGUUUCCCAAUUAGUAAUGGAAAGAAGAGGAAGAUUCCCUUUUCAGAGGUUAAUGUAAAAGGUGCAUAACAAGCUACAAGCAUGGAAAAGGAAGAUGCUAUUUUUUUGUGGUAAGGUUGUAUUAGUUAAUAAUGUUCUUAAUAGAAUUCCUAUCUAUCUAAUAUCUGUUAUUACUCCUCACUAAGUGUGUGAUUUAUGAUCUACAUAGAAUUUUUGCAAGACUUCUAUGAAAUUUUUGGAAAAUAAGCCGAAAUAAACAUUGGUGGCUUGGAAUGACAUUUGUAGACCUAAAGAGGAAGGGCAUUUGGGAUUUAGAUCAUUUUUGAUAUUUUGAAAGCAUUAGUUACUAAGUUGUGGUGGAUGUUUAGGACAAAUAAUUCUUAUGGACUAAAUAUAUGUGGAAGAAGUAUAGCAAGAAAGUGAGGCCACAACUGGUGGAAUAGAAAGAAGGAUCUUUGACUUUGAAAUAUAUGCUUGAGGCUAGAGAUACUUUUGGUUAGAAAAUAUUUUGGGAGCCUAAAUAUGGUCAUUGUGUUUGGUAUUAUAACUAGACUUAAUUGGGUGCUCUCCAUUAUAUCUACCUAUCACUACUGCAACUAAUUGUCAACUAGAGGAGGUGAGCUAAUUAUUCAUAAAUGGUGGCUGAAAUGCGGAUCUGUUGUAGCACAACUUUGGAGAGAAAGUAUGUAACCAUGUCAUUAAUUAUGUGAAGUGUGAGGAAGAUUCUGAGAAAUAGGACAAGGUUUGGUAGAAUGAUAAAUACCUGUGGAAAGAUCAUUGUUAGAUCUGCUUGGGGCUGUAAAGACAACGAAGAAAUCCUACAAAAUUUCAAAGCAAUAUAGAUGAAAGGAUUAACUUUUAAGGUAUCAUUUUUCUUGUGUAGAUUAUGGAAAAAGAGGAUACCCAUAGUAUAAAUACUCAUCAAUAAAAGAAUGUGUGAUAAUAUUGUUUGUUGUUGUUAAGAAGAUGGUAUUUAGGAUAUUGUAGAUCACUUGUUUAUCUAUUGCAGGGUAUCUAAGAACCUAUGGGAGUAUUUUGCAUUUAUUGCAUGAGUUGAUGACUUUUUUGUUUCUCAUAGAUAGUGUUCUUAAAUGGUGGAAUUCUAUAACUAUCUCUAAGCUAAAAUUUGGUUAUACAGUUGUGUCAAUUUUUUUAUCUUAUGGAAGAUUUGAAAGUGAAAAAAUUGUAUUAAACAUGGAGGCAAGAAGUCAUUUUUAACCAUAAGGAUGGGAAUAACUAGCAAAUAUUUAUAUCUAGCAGAGUUUCUUUUUUCAUGACUAGUGAAUAUACCUAAUUCUUGUCCUGAAUUGGUGAGGUUUAUGGUUGCAUAUACACCAAGGAUUGGGUGUACUGUGGUGAACUGGAAGAUGCUUAGAAAAGGUCAAUAUAAAUGCAACUUUGAUAGAACUUCAAAGGAAAUUCCUGGCACACGAUCUAUUACAAUUUGUAUUAGAGAUGAUGUUGGGGAUAUGAUAUAAGCAGAAGGCAGAAGAAUUGAGGAUACUACAAACUUGGUGGUUGAAGUUGUGGAUUUGAGGAUAGGACUAGAAUAAUUCAUUAGUCAUAGUCUCUUGCCUUUCACGACCCGAUUUCAUGAGUCAUGAUGGAACCUACUUUAUCCCACUAGUAGGUAAGCCAAACCGUAGCCUAAAACUACAAGUAAUGGGCUAGUUGGUGGAAGAUGUCAAAAAUUCCGGAAUUAUGCAAGUAAAUUGAUUACAAACCAUAAAACAAAAGGAUAAUAGCUCUAGUGAAGAGAAAUAAUGAAAAUAGAAAUAAAGUUCCCCGACCUACUAAGGUCGGUACAAGAGACUCUAGCAAAAGAAUAAGAGUACUAUCAGUGUCAAAUAUACAAUAGUCUUGAAACAAAAAGACCAUCAAAACUAAAAAAAAAGGUGACAAAGUCAACUCCGGUACCAAGAGCUCACCCUAUCUCCAAACUCCGACGAGCACAAAUACAGCGUCAACAGUGACAACUAGUACUUGAAUCUACACCAGAAAAGGAUAUAGAAGUGUAGUAUAAGUACCAAAGCAACGGGUACUUAGUAGGUAUCAUCGGCCAACUAAGAUAAAUCAUAAUUUAAAAAUAAUAAAAUGCGAGACAAUAAGCUAAGUUAGGAGAAACGAAAAAACCUAGAAUAAUACUCUAAAUUCUAAACGUAACUAACAAAAUAAAUAACAUCGAGAGAGAGGGUAAUUAUAAUUCGCAUAACCAAGCCCCCAUAAGCCCAGGAGAUUCAAAUAAAAGUAAAUAAUCCAAAGUGGGCCCCCAUAAACCCGAUGCAUUCAAUUAAGAAAAAUGAUAACAGUAAAUAUUCCAAGCAUUUAAAUCUCGAUAAUGGUAGAUCCUCUCUCACCAUAAGCACCAGACUUGAACAAGUUUCAUAACCAUCAUAAAUAACCUCUUAAUGUUUGACUCAAACUAGAAAUAGUUUCUUAUAUUUCGGACCUGAACAAAUAACAAUAUCAUGAAUACUGAACUUGAAUCGAAAGUGAUAUCAAUGUUUGCCGAUCUUGAACCAAUAUUAAUAUAUUCAUAAUUGCUAGACUUGAACUGGUCUUAAUAUAUCCCAAAAACAAGCAUAGAAUGCCUAAAGCCUUGUCGGGCUUAAGAAUGUGAAUAAGAUAAUGUAUGAAGGCCUACAGAGUCUACAAGGAGCUACUAGUAAUCUUGGCCUAAGGUAGGCCAAAAGGGCCCAUUUCUAACCCUAAAAAUCUGCUCUAAGGUAAUUACUAUCCCGAACUAGGCUAAGAUUCCAAAUCACCCUACAAGGUACUAAACAAACCUCAUCACGUCCUAAUCUAGAAAUUCAACCAAAGGAAUAGAUAAUUAAAUCGAAUACGCCGAAUCACGGUUCACUAACCUGCUAAGCAAUCUAAAUUAGCUAAAUAUGCCAAUAUGUCAAAAUUUCCAACCCAAAAAUAGCAUAAUAUUAUAUCGAUACUACAAUUAAGCUCAAUCUAAGAGAGAAGAGUAAGUCUAGCCUACCUGGACGCCAAAGAAAGCCUAAUAGGGUCCUCUCAAUUGGCGAUUUCCCCUUCCAUGAAGACCUACAUGAUGCCACGCUACUUAAAUAGUUAUUGACUUAUUAAUACGAGAAUAAUGAUACCUAUAUUACAUUUUUAUGCUUCAAGUUCAAAAUCAAGUCAAAAUGCUAUGUGGGGCCUGCUUGCAAAAUCACACUUUCAAAACCGUCAGCACGUCCCUCUAUGCUCAAUGACCAUUUACCCUAAAAAUGUGUAAAUUCUUAGCUCAAAUAAUAACAAAAUCAACCCAUCAAGAAUCUAGGGAUUUAUUUCUAAAUUGGGGAACUAAUUCAUGAAUUAGAUUGAAACUUAGGAUUACGAUAAGGAAAUGACGAUUCCAAGCUCACCAACCUCAUGAUCACCCGAGGAUCAACCUCCCAAUUUUCCACCCUUUAGGGAUUUAAAGCUCUUUUGACUAAGUGAAAAAUUGUGUAAAAGGCUGAAUUAAAUUCACUUCAGGUUUCGCUUAAGUGGUCACUUGACCACGUAAGCGAUCACCGCUAAAGCAACAUAGUAUUGCUAAAGCAGUCCCUGGCACGGGUCACCUUCCGCUAAAGCGGACAAGAUAUUGCUUAAGCUACGCGGAGGGUCCACUAAAGCGGACAAGAUAUUGCUUAAGCUACACCAGCUUUAGCGGUAAGGGUUCUUCUAAAGUGACUAAGGAAGGACCAGUCUAGGCUGCUAAAGCAGCCUCUGCUAAAGCGACCAAAGGCCUGCUUUAGCUGAUGCACCAGCUGAACUUAAAUUUUUCCAAUUUUCUACUGACCCCUCCGAAUUCAUUCAAAUUGGGUAAACACAAACAAACUAUACAAACAUAUCAAAUUCAAUAUUUCGCACUCAAUGGUGCCAUCAAAAGCUCCAUUCAGGGUCUUUUUGAUGAAUUAUGGACUCCACAUCUAAGGGCUACUUUAACUAAAUUUUGCUCAAUAGCCCAAUAGCCCAAAAUAAGUCUGGAAGCUAUGAGACCUAAACCAAAGGUCCCCCUAGCCUAAAAUUGACGUUCUAAAGCUGGUGAAACAAUCAAGAAUGGCAUACGAGGUCAUUAACCUGAAGUUUAUGCCCAAUAGCCAAAUUUUUACGAACAAAAGUAUCAAAAUAGGGAUUGGCUCUAAAAACCAAAUAAACUUGGCGAUAACUGAACUGUCAGCUUCAGCAAUCCAUAAAUGACUCGAUGCUUUAAUGGGGAAGAUCUAAAUAGCUAAGAUGUGUGGAAAAGUAGAAAAUGACCUGGAGGGUCAUUAUAAAUCCACUACUGAAAGGACUUUUUUCUACAAAAGUAAAGGGUAAGGAUGAACUGAGGGCUCAAAUAAGUGGGGAUACAUGGCCCACAUUUCCCUUUCGAUUUACCAAGUAGCCUCCUCAUCUAGUAUUUUUCUCCCCUGAACCAUAACUAUUGAAAUCUCCUUAAAGUGCAACCAUCUAACAUCCCUAGCUAAUAUGAGAACUGAAUCCUCUAUGAAGGUCAAUCUAUCGUCCAACUAACUCAAGUCCCAUCGAAGGAUAUGUGACUCAUUAGGGACGGAGCACAGAAACAUAAGAAACUAGACGAACAAUGACAAAAUCUUGGUGCAAGGCCAACUGAUAAGAAACCUCUCCAACACUAUGAAGAAUCUCAAAAGGUCCAAUAUAUCUAGGGUUGACUUUGUCUUUCCUCUCGAACCUCAUUGCACCGCUUAUGGGAGAUAAUGCAAAGAAGCCUCGUCUCCAACUCCAAAUCUCAUGGAACAAAAACUAUCUUCAUAAGACUUCUGCCUAUUUUGAGUUGCCCUCAGCCUAUCCUGAAUUACCCUAACUCUAUCCAAUGACUCCCAAAGUAAGUCAGUACCAUGAGGUCUAAUCUCGAAUAUCUCAAACCAUCCUAUUGAAGUGCAACAAUUCCUCCCAUGUAGUUCCUCUAAUAUUUCUAUCUCAAAACUCUAAUAGUAGCAAUUAUUAUAUGUAAACUUUGCCAAACCUCUAAUAUUUCUAUCUCAAAACUCUAAUAGUAGCAAUUAUUAUAUGUAAACUUUGCCAAAGCUAAGUUUCGCUUCCAUUGAAAAGCACUCUAGAAGCUAGAAGUGAAUAUCAAGCCCUUUCUAAAAUAAUAACUAUGGGCACUCUAUGCAGGCAAACUAUCUCACAAACAUAGAUGCAGGCUAACCUUUUAGUGUUGAAGGACAUUUGAAUAGGAAGUAAUUGUGCCAAUUUUGGUCAAUCGAUCUACAAUGACCCAAAUAUUGUUAGAACCAUGGGAGGUGCAAGGAAACCACUAACAAAGUCCAUGGUGAUCCGUUCCCAUUUCUACUCAAGAAUGGGCAAUCUCAAAAUUAUACCACCAGGCCUAUGAUGCUAAGCCUUCACCUACUGACAACAUAAGCAAAAUCUAUAAAGUUCACCACAUCUCUCUUAAUGACGUUCCAACAAUAGUACUGCCUCAAAUCCCUAUACAUUUUGGUUGUCCCAGGGUUAAUAGAGUAUCUGGAGUUGUGAGCAACACAAAAUCUAAACUGAAUUUAAGUCACCAGCACCCAAAACACAAAUAUGGGCAUCAUAUCUCAAAAUAACCUCAGAAUCUAUGGUAUCCCUCCUGGACACACCACUCAGCACCUGAUCACAGAUGACACAAAGUCCUCUAUCCUUAAAGUGAUGACUCUAAAUCUACUCAAAUAAGGUAGACCUUACCUCAACACUAGAAAUGAUCCUUCUAGAGUCAAAAAUAUCAGUCGUACCAUCAAGUUGGCUAAGGACUGUAUGUCUUAUGUCAACGGCCUCUCAAAAAACAAAAUAAAAGUCAAGAUACCCAUACUUACCAUCUUUCGGCUCAAGGCGUCCGCUACCAUGUUUGCCUUGCCUAGAUAGUAAAGAAUAGAGAUGUCAUAAUCCUUCAACAACUACAUUCAUCUGCGCUAUGUAGAUUAAGCUCUAUUUGAGUCAUUAGGUGCUGAAGACUAUGAUGAUCUAUGUAGAUCUAACAAUGAACUCCAUAUAAAUAGCGCCUUCAAAUCUUAAGUGGAAGAACUACCCCCACCAAAUCUAAAUCAUGAGUGGGAUAGUUGCACUCUUGCACCUUCAGUUACCUCAGCGCAUAGUAAUAACUCGACCCUUUGCAUUAACAUACCGCUCUAACCAACACCAUAAGCAUCACUAUAUAUAAUAAAUCCCUCACCCUUAAACGGAAGAGAUAUAGGAGAUGAUAUGAUAAAACCCUUGACGUUCCAAAAUCUUAACUCAUACUCCUUACACUAUUGGAAAAUGAAACCUCCUUAUGGGUUAAUUUGGUCAUCGACACUACAAUAGUAACAAAACCAUCAAUGAGCCACCUGUAGUAACCAGCCAAACCAAUAGAGUUAUGAACUUCAUAUGGAGAUAUAGGCCUGGUCUAAUUACAAAUAGCCUCAAUCUUCUCCAGAUCCACCAUAAUCUCAUCCUUAGACACCAUAUGUCCUAGGAAUCUAACUAACUCAAGCCAGAACUCACACUUUGAGAAUUUGGCAAAGAGCCUAUGAUUUAUAAAAGUCUGGAGCACAAUCCUCAAAUGUUGCAUAUGUUUCUCCCUACUCCUUGAAUACAAAAGAAUGUCAUCAAUGAACACAAUCACAGUGAAGUCUAAAUAAGGUUGAACAUGCGGUUAAUCAAAUCCAUAAAUGCAGUUGCGAUAUUGGUCAACCCAAAAGACAUCACCAGGAACUCAUAAUGGCCAUAACUAGUUCUUGAGGCUAUCUUUUGGAUAUCUACAACCCAAAUCCUCAAUUGAUGAUAAUCGAAUCUCAAGUCAAUCUUAGAGAGUACGACUCAUCUAUGAAGCUGGUUAAAAGUCAAUAAUAUGAGGCAUAGGAUAUUUAUUCUUUAUUGUUAGCUUAUUCAACUACUUGUAAUCGAUACACACACAAAAAGAACUAUUUUUUUCUUCACAAACUAGACAGGAGCACCCUAAGAUGACACAUUUGGCCUAAUGAAACCCCCAACUAAAAGAUACUGAAGUUGAUAAUUUAGAUCCUUAAUCUUGGUAGGAUCCACACAGUAAGGUUCCGUAGAAGUAAGUUGGGUGCCCAUCCCAUGAUCAAUAAUAAAAUAAAUAUCAUGCUCUAGAAGAAGACCAGGUAGAUUGUGUAAUGACCCUCUAGUUCAUUUUUUGCAUUUUAAAAUUUUUUUGCCAUUCAAAGAUUUCUUAUAGAUGCACUAUGUAAUUUGUGACUUCCUGGAUUUGACAAUUUAGUUACUAGGCAGUUCAUUUGGAUUUUAGAGCUAAUUCCUUAUUUUCAAGUCUUUAUCAAUAAGAAUUGCUUAUUGGGUAUAAACUUUAGGUUAACAACUACGUAUAGCAAUUCUGACAGUACCAUCAGCUUUGGAAUAUCAAAUUUAUGCUUGGGGACUAUUCAUUUAGGUCCCAAGUCUUCCAAAAUCAUUUUGGGAAAGCCCAAAUCCUCAAUUGAUGAUAAUCAAAUCUCAAGUCAAUCUUAGAGAGCACGACUCCUCUAUGAAGCUGGUAAAAAGUCAAUAAUAUGAGGCAUAGGAUAUUUAUUCUUUACUGUUAGCUUAUUCAACUACUUGUAAUCGAUACACACACAAGGAACUAUUUAUUUCUUCACAAACUAGACAAGAGCACCCUAAGAUGACACACUUGGCCUAAUGAAACCCUCAACUAAAAGAUACUGAAGUUGAUAAUUUAGAUACUUAAUCUUGGUAGGAUCCACACAGUAAGGUCCAUAGAAGUAAGUUGGGUGCCCAUUCCAUGAUCAAUAAUAAAAUCAAUAUCAUGCUCUAGAAGAAGACCAGGUAGAUUGUGUAAUGACCCUCUAGUUCAUUUUUUGCAUUUUAAAAUUUUUUUGCCAUUCAAAGAUUUCUUAUAGAUGCACUAUGUAAUUUGAGACUUACUGGAUCUGACAAUUUCGUUACUAGGCAGUUCAUUUGGAUUUUAUAGCUAAUUCCUUAUUUUCAAGUCUUUAUCAAUAAGAAUUGCUUAUCGGGUAUAAACUUUAGGUUAACAACUUGGUAUAGCAAUUCUGACAGUACCAUCAGCUUUGGAAUAUCAAAUUGAUACUUGGGGACUAUUCAUUUUAGGUCCCAAGUUUUCCAAAAUCAUUUUGGGAAAUUGAGUAGAAUUUGAUAAAAGUGUCCCUUAGGUGUGGGUCCCAUAUUUCAUUGAAAUGAUCCUGUAUUGAAAUUUUAAUAGCACCACUGAGUCCAGAAUGUCAAAUUUGAUAGGGUAGCCAUGUAUUAAAAUUUUAAUAGCACCACUGAGUCUAGAAUGUCAAAUUUGAUAGGGUAGCAUUAUUUGAUUGCAUUCAUGGGAUUCUGAAUAAAUCUCAAGGGGGCGGUGGGAACUCUGCAAAUCCAAGGUUAGCUGGUGCAUAGACUUAGUUGGUGUAUCCGCUAAAGAGGACCUUUGGUCGCUUUAGCGGCUAAGUGGUCACUUUAGUGGCCAAGGCUAGUCCCACCUUAAUAUUUUUAGCAGAACUAUUACCAUUAUAGCGACUGUCGCUUAAGUUUGACCUCAUCCACUUUAGUGGAGGUUGGCCCUAGCCAGGAAGCGCAUUAGCGGUGACCGGUUAAGCGGCACCUUGGAAGGCAUUUAUUUCGGCACUUCACUUGAUUUUCUACACUUUUCCCUAAGUUCAAAGAGCUUCAAAGACAUAGAGAGUGUGGAAAACUAAGAAGUUGAUCCUUGGGUGAUCAUGGGGUAUUUUUGAGAAUGGAACAGUCAUUUCUUUGUCAUAAUCCACAUAAGAUUUGGUCUAAUUAUUGAUUUAAUUCUAUGAUUUAGUAAUGAAUACCUAGCUUCUUGAUGGGUGAUUUUAGCAUCAUUUGAGCUCAACAUUUACCUAUUCUUAAGGGUAAAUGAUGCUUGAGCAUAGGGGGUUGUGUUGACGGUUUUGAAAGUGAGAUUCCGUAAGCAGUCUCCCAUAUGCAAUGUCGACUUGAUUUUGUACCUAAAGCAUAAAAAUGUGAUAUAGAUUUCAAUAUUCUCAUAUUAAUGUGUAGAACCCUAUUUUGAUAGUGUGGCAUAGUACAGAGGCUUCUCAUAAGGGGAAAUUACCAAUUUAACAGACUUUAUUAGGCAUUCUUCAGUGUCUAGGUAGGGUAGGCUUACCCUACUCUUAGAUUGAGCUUAAUUGAAGUAUCAAUAUAAUAUUAUGCUAGUUUUAGGUUGGUAACUAUGACUUAGUGGCAUAUCUAGUGAAUUUAGAUUACUUAACUAGCUAGUGAACCGUGAUUAGGUGUAUUUGACUUAAUUACUCAUUCCUUAGGUUUAAUUUCUAUCGUAGGACUCAGUGAGGCUUAUUUAGAAUCUUGUAGUGGGGUUUUUCACCAUACAUUUGCAUAGUAAUUAAAUUAGAACAAAUAUUUAGGGUUAGAAGUAGGCUACUUCGACCCAUCUUAGGCUAAGAUUACUAUUAUCUCCUUGCAGAUUCAAUAGGCCUUUAUACGUUACCUUAUUCACAUUCUUGAUCCAAUGAGGCUUUAGGAAUAUUCUGACUUAUUCUAUUCUUGUUAUUGGGAGAUGUUAGUACCGGUUCAAGUCUAGCAAUAUGAUGAUAUUACUACCAAUUUAAGUCCGGUAAAUGAUUUUAUUCGUACCGAUUCAAGUCUGACAUGUGAGAUAUUAUUUAUUGUUCAAGUCUGGCUUUGGAAGGUUAUUUAUGAUGGUUAUGAAACUGUUUGACUCCAGUGUAUAUGGUAUGGAAAUAUCCAUGGUUAUAGUUUUGAGGUUUGGCUAUUUGGGAUACUUACGGUCAUUACUUUUCCUUGAUUGCAUCCACCGAGCUUAUAGAGGCCCGUAUUGGGUUAUUUACUUUGUUUAUAUUUCCAGGGCUUAUGGUGUCCUAUUUAUACUGUAGAUAGUUACAUUCUCUUGAUAUUAUUUAUACAAGUGUUUACUUAUAGUAUUUGGUGCAUUAUUCCAUGGUUUAACUUGUUCCUUACUUAGCUUACUAUCUCACGUUUUAUUGUAUCUAUAUUAUGAUUUAGAUCAAUUAAACGAUGAUGCCUACUGAGUAUCCAUUUCUUUGGUACUCAUACUAUAUGUUUGUACCCUUCUUAGUUUAAAUUCGAGUACCAAAUGCCACCAUUGAUGUUAUAUUAGUAUAGGUCAGAGUUUAGAGAUAGGCUAAGCUCUUAGAGACAGAGUUGACUUUCUCUCCAUUUUUUAUUUCAAUGGUCUUUUUGUUUCGAUAUUAUUCAACAUUUGACAUUGAUUACUUUUAUUAGGUCUUUGGAUGUUUUUACUCAUUUCUUUAUUUCUCUUUAAUUAUGCUAUUAUUCUUAUGUAUAUGGCUUGUAAUCUAUUUACUUGCACAAUUCCGGUGAUUAUGCCAUUUGUCCACCAACUAGUAAAUUAUUUAUAGUAUUGAGCUAUGGUUGGCUUACCUAUAGUGGGAUAAAGUAGGUUCCAUUAUGAAUUAUGAAAUUGGGUCGUGACAAAUUGGUAUUAGAGCCUAGGUUCGUUGAUAUUGUUAGUAUAAGAGCAAGUGUCUAGUAGGGUCCCACAGAUCGAAAUAAUGACAUUAUUUCUUAUCUUAGGUAGGAUAUCGGACAUUCUUAGGAAAAAUUUACAUUUUUCAUUCCUAAUUAUUCUAAAAGUCUAUGUUGGUUUCUAAGAUUCAUUUUGGUUUAUCUUUUACAGAUGACUAGGACAUGAGCUACUGCUUCUGUAGGCGAGGACUCUAAGUCCGCGACUAGGAAUCCUAAAAAGGUAUGGACGAAAUAGAGGUUGGGGCAAGUGAGAUAUUUAAACCAAGCUAGAGAUCCAAAGAGAGCCUUCACUAGACCCUAUUUCAUCUCCCACCCCAGAGAUUUAUCUACCCCAGACAGUGGUGGGUCAGGGGUAGCCCAGGCUCUACUUGGGUUUAUUCUUCGUUGUUGCUUAGCUAUGUCUUAGUCCAGCUAUUGUGUUUUGUUGGUGGUGCUUCAUUUAAUAAUGCUUAGUCUACAGAUUAGGGUGGUACUGGGGAAGGGUGUAAACUAUGGCUGCAACCCCAGAGUUGAGAUCCCUGUAGUGCUAGUAGUUGCUCAAUCGAUGGUCGUCCAGUUUUAUAUGUCUAUUGAGGAGCAGAAGAUGUUGGGUUGAUUCUUCAUAUUGACUCUGUCUAGUUUUUCUAUGGCACCAAUCAAGGAUAAAUUUGAGCUCUUAACUGUUUGUGAGAAUAGGCUUUAUAAUUUGGGCGCAGUUGAGGCUCGCGGGGUUGACUACACUACUUUUCAGUUAGAUCUUAUAGCUUGACAUUGGUGGGGAGGUUAUCUUGAGUCCAUGCUAGUUGGCUCUCCCUUUUUGAUAUGGACUCAGUUCUCUGAGGUCCUUUUAGAGAAGUAUAUUAUUAGAGUAUAGGCUCAAUUUCAUAAGUUGGUUGGGACUAUUACAUCCAUCUUGUCGAUCGACUAUGAGUGAAUUUAGUAUGUUGUUCGGAGACUGAGACAUCUUUUUUGCAUGGAUACAUAGUGUUUCGUUGCUACUAACAAAUCUUUUAUUGGGGCUUCUGAUCAUACCCAGAUCAUGGAGGAGAUGCAUUAUGAGGUUCAAGGGGUAGUGAUAAGAGACCACGCUAUCAUGGUAGUUUAAGUGGGAGCCAGAGUGGCUCAUAUUUUAGAGGCAAAGGUUCUCAGGGUAGGUACCCCCCACAACAGUCUUAGCAAAAUCAGGUUCAGUCAAGUAGACCCAUUCAUAUCAUACUUCAUCUUACCGAAGGGGAUCAACCGAAUUAUAGUGAUCAUCCUGGCUAGAGUAAUGGUCAGCCUUCUAGAGAUGCAUAUUCUAGGUUUUUAGCUGAGAUGGUUAGUUUGGUUCAAUCAGAUUUUCUAGAUUCAGUUCAGCUUUUAGAGUAUGUUAUAAGUAUGGGUCCUUCGACUAUUUCUCCAGAAAGUGUCCCCACCAUGGGGCAGUUGUACCUGCAGCAUAGAGGUUCCACUGAUUAGAGAAAUGCUACCCCAGAUUAGAGAAUUUGUUACGAUUUGAUUUCAGAGUCAUGAUGGUACCGACUUUAUCCCAUCAAUAGGUAAGCCAAACCAUAGCCCAAAACUACAAGUAAUGGGCUAGUUGGUGGGAAAUGAAAUAAAUUCCGGAUUGAUGCAAGUUAACAGACCACGAAUGAUAAAAUAUAAGGAUAAUGGCAUAACUGAAGAGAGAUAAUGAAAAGAGUAACAAAAUCCCAUUACAUAGUAGGAGCAGUGCACAAGCCUCUAGCAAAAUAAUAAGAGUAUUAUCAAUUUCAUAAUUAAAAGUCUUGAAAAAACAAACCAUCAAAAUAGAAGAAGGAGAGAAAGUCAACUCUAGCUCUAAGAGCUGACCCUAUCUCCGAACUCCAACUUGCACUAAUACAACAUCAAUGGUUAUAACUUGUACUCGUAUCUACACCCAAAAAGUUACAAAAGUGUAGUACGAGUACCAAAGCAAUGGAUACUUAGUAGGCAUCAUCGGCUGAUGAUGUGCUAUAGAAAUAUAGCACUUACGAUGCUUAAAACUAUGAGAAUAUGCAUGUACUUAAGGCUAUUUUGUUAGAUUUGAUGUAUUUUUGGAGUGUUUUGCAGGAAAUUAGGUUUUGAAUGCUAAAUUCAAGAAAAAGAUGAAAAGUGAUAUUUUGGAUGCUUAUUUGAUCUAUUUUGGGUAUUCGUUACUCUUUUCGGAUGUUCGUGACCAAAGCAUGUGAUGAAAGUUGAAGAUUUGAAGCUUGGUUGCAAGUAUUAGUACUUACCUAUGUCACCAUAUGGACCACAUGUAGCACAUGUAGACCACUUAUGGGUAAGGUAAGUGCCAGAAGUCCAAAAUCCCAAAAGUAGAAGCUGCAGGAAUUUUUGUCUGCACACAUGUGGUGGCUUUAUGCAUCCAGCCUCAAUCCACAUGUGGCACAUGUGCCCAAGGCAAGUCCCAUGUGGAAACCACAUAUGGCCACCAACCUCAACUUUUUUGGAUUGUUCCAUAAUUGUUUUUCCACAUGUGGCCACCAACCUCAACUUUUUUGGAUUGUUCCAUAAUUGUUUCCUAGGGCUUUAUGUAUCUCAAUUACACUCCUAUGAUGUUUGUUCAAGCCCUAUUAUGUAUGGGUAAUUAAUUAUUUCUAUUUUAAUUAGGAUUUGAUUUCUAUGGUAUCUUGUAAUCUAUAAAUACCUUUUAGUCUCUGUUUAGUUAAUUCAUUCAAAUAUUCAUAUAUUCAUAUAUUGAUUGAUUCAGAAGGAGGCCCUUUGGGGACAAGUUCACAAACAUCUUAUUAUUCUUGAUUUAUUAUUUAAUUUAAGACUUUGGAAUUUCUUCUCUUAUUAUUGUGAGAUUGAUUUUGUAAUUUUGUCAGUAUAUUCCAUGAUUGAUCUCAUAACUAUAAGUCUAUACUCAUUAUGAGAUUGAUUUUAUAAUUUUUUUUUGUUGGGUUGUGGGAACCCUGGCAGAUUAAUGAAGUAAAGGAAGUGUCAAGUUGUUCUGGAUAAAGAUUCUUGCAUGUAUUGGGCUUUCUUCAUUCUUAUUGAUUUCUUAGUGGUGGACAAUGUUAACAUCCCACCUAGAUUAUUACUACUUACUCUAAAAUAGGAGAAGUUACUUGGUAAAGAAGAUCAUAACAAUAAUUUAAAUAUUAACGAUCGAUCCAUGCUAAUAGGUAUUAUCUAUGUAAGAUCGCUAACAAUCAACUAAUAACUAGAAACCCAAAAGAUAAUAGUUAACUGGGAUCCAGGAUAAGGGUUAGUAAGGUGACAUCCUGACACUCAAAAGGAAAGGGUAAAAUCCAUCAACUAGUCCAAAAGACGAUUGAUGGUACAUAACUUAUCAGAUUCUGCAUGCAAGAUAUUGGAAUAGUUUGAUAGUGCACGAUAAGUCUACUAAGUUGAGAAGCCAAGGGAAACACAAUCCUAGUGUUUGUCUUAGAUUGUUUACAAUCAAAAACAACCAAGCCUUAUUACUUUUAGUUAGUUACUACAAAUCCCCCAUUUUUACUUUUCUGUACCGCCUGGUGAUUUCAACAAGUUUGAGACAGAUAUUUGGCCUAUUGAAUGGGGGAUUGACCCAACCUAAUUGAGUUACUAUAUUUGACAGCGAUCGUAUUAUCCUUCUAAAAAGGGGUAGUUUGGGUGUUAUCAAAUUUUAGCGUCGUUUCCAGGGAAUACGGUUUCAUAGUCUUGAUUAAAAUAGUUGGAGUUAUUAGGUUUUAUUUUCUUUUGUUUUGUUUAUUUUGUUGCCUAAUCUUCUUAAGAUGACAACCUGGCCAGAAGAAGUAUGGAGUGAUGAUGACUCCUUAUUUAUUGAUCCUUUUUCUAUUGAUAUGGUACAUUAUUGCAGAAGUGUGGAAAAUAUAGUGUGUGAUCACAAGGAUAGCCUGUUGGAAACAUUGACACAACUUGUCCAUAACAAUCAUGAGAUUAUUCAAAAGGUUGAUAGGUUUGGUGAAACACCUUGGCUUUGAACACUUCGAGAAUUUCCUAAGUUGGAUAUUCUAGGUAAGGUACGGUUUGAACAUACCUCUCGUCUACUAGGGUACAGUAUAGUACCCACCCUCUUGUAUAAUGAUCAGUCUAGGUUGAUAACAUUAUCUCCAAGGUACGGUUUGGCCUAUCCCUAGUCGUAUGUUAGGGUACUAGUUAUAAGUUGGAAAGUCAUAUGAUGUCCUGAGCUUGACCUAGUGCAUUCUGCCUAGGGUAUGAGUUGGAGGGUACUUUUCAUACCUUAAGGUAUGACUUGGACUUGUAUAGUUGUAUGUUGAUCAGUAUGAGGGUCCAAGGGGAGGUUUAAAGUACGAGUAAGGGUACCACUCAUACCCUAGGGUACGGUUUAGGUGUGGAAGUCAUACCCUCCUGCGUGUGUUUUUCAGCUUUUAAGCUGAGGACAUUUUAGACACUUUACGCCUCUAAACCCUUAAGUCCCACAACUUAUAACAUUGUUUGGCCCUUUAUUCUUCACUUGGACAUGAUCAAAACAUUCCAAAACACUCUCUAAAAUUCUUCAACAAGAUUGGAGGCUAGGGUUUCAAUAGGUGAUCUUCUAGAGGCUAAAGGGGUCAAGUUCUUUCCGUGAAUCAUCCUAAAUAAGGCAUGCAACUCUUCCCUCAUUGUUAUUUCUUAAAUAUCAUGUGCUUUAAAUAUUGAUUUUGAUUCUUGAAUGGUGGGUUUUGAAACAAGAUGUUGAGAUUUUUGAUGCAUAGUGAUGAGUAUUGUUUACUCUUGUUUAAACUUGUAUUUGUACAUGUUUUUUGGUGACGGUUUGCACAUGUGGGUGCUUGAUUAUGGUUUAAUAAAUGGGUCAUGAGUAAACCUAAGCUUGAUGAUGUUUACUUUGAUUUGGGUCAUGGUAAAGGUAUGCCCUCAAGGUGUUAAUGAAAAUAUCUAAGAGAAAUAACUAGUUACAUGUUUAUAGUGUUUUGAACUAUGGCAAUGGCUUAAUAAGUAAAAACUAUUAUAAAAUGACUUUGUAAAGGCCUUGUUAGCCAUGUACUGAGUUAAUUGGUAACCUUGGUGGUUUUAUUGGUUAAUAAGGGUUUGAGUCCUUAAGUAUGAAAUAGAAUUGUGUUUGAACUAAAACUGGUGUAAUAAUGCUAAUGAAGAAUGAAUGGUUUGGUAAAGGUCUUUAUGACCACAAUUUGAAUUGAAUAGUGAUUGAAACUAUGUCAGUGGUCUAUUAAAGUGAUUGAUUGAUAAAUGGUUCAUAGACCUUGUGGUCAUGUAUGGUGUUGAACUGAAGUCGUGAUGGCUUGAAUUGGCUAUGUGAGUUAGAGUCCUUAAAAUGUUGAAGUGAAUGGAUGCGAAUGCAUGGACAAAGGGUUAGAUUCCCAAUGUCGAUUAGUAAUCAAUACGACGGCUUAUGGUUAGAGUCCACUUGUUUAACAAAAUGACUUAUGGAUAGAGUCCACUUUUCUAAUAAAAUGGCUUGUGGUUAGAGUCCACUUGUUUAAUAAGACAGCUUGUGGUUAGAGUCCACUUACUUAAUAAGACAACUUGAGGUUAGAGUCAUCUUCCUUAAUAUAAUCGAGAAGUUCAAACUUCCUAAUCUACGUAAGUGGGAGGUUAGAGUCCUAUAUCAUGAUUGGGUGUUUCAAAAUGCAUGUUAAGGCCUCGUUUUCUUUCCCAACAUUCGAUGUAUCUUUAUCUCAACAUAUAUGCCUAUGUAUAUAAAUAUGAUUGCAUGUGAUCGUUUGUCUUGGUUUUGGAAUGAUGACAUAUUUUAUCCUUAUCCUUAAGUUACAUGCUAGCGCUCCAACUGCUAACCAUCACCGAAUAAUGUGUUCCCUCAUGACACAGGGGCCAGAGCUUCUUCUUCUUUUCCUAAAUAGUGACCAGGUGUUCGAGCGGAUCGUGUAUUGACUUUGAAGUAGUGAGCAUCUAUACUUCGGAAGGCAUACAUUUCAUGGUCUUUCUAUCUUAUGUUGUAGACUUUUUUUAGACUAGGAUUUUGGCUAUUGUCGGAGACAUAUCUCGACACAUUAUAGACAUCGGAUUGGUAGAGUCGUGUGGAUGGUUGUGGACUUAGGUAUGCUGGCUUAGUAUGUGACAUUAAUAGAUUGAUUAUACACUUCUUAAGUUAUGAUUAUUAGUCAUGUUUUUGCCAUCUUGUUAUAUGUUUAGAGUUCAUCCGAUAUUUUAGGAAUGAUAUAAUGGUUGGGUUAGGUUAGCGGGGCAAUCCCGAUCCUUGUUGCGCUCGAAAUGCCCAUUACGACAUGGCCCUAUUUUGGGUCAUGUCAAGUUGGUAUCAGAUCUUAGGUUUAUGGUUAGUUGAGUGUCCAAAGAGUCGUGUCAGGUAGAGUCUCUUUUAUGGGUAUGUAGUGUGCCACACUUAUAAGAGAGGGGCUACGAGACAUUUGAGAAUUUUUCCCUUUCUUGUGGUUCUAUCUCAAGCUAUAAAGUCUAAGGUCUUGGAUUCCUCUUAUUUCUAUUUGCUUACAUUUCAGAUCAUGCCUCCAAGAAGAUCUGAUGUUCAAGAAAACCCUUCUAUCCCGACUAAGGAUAAUGUGGACAAAGCUCAUCUAACAUAUGGAGUCCAGACCCAGUCUAGAGGUCCGAUUUCUGAUGGUCCUGGAGUUCCACCGAUUUCCUCUAGUCCUCUCCCAGUUCCUCAGGCUGACGUGACGAAUGUUGAGUUUCGUUAGUUGAUUCAGAUGAUUGCUCAGUUGGUGGCUUCUCAAGCUGAGUGUGGUGCAUCUAUUACUCUAUCUUCUGAGUCCAUAAGGGUUGGCUAAUUCAUGAGGUUGAGUCUUCUGACCUUUGCCGAUGUUAAGGUGGAGGAGGAUCCAUAAGGUUUUCUGGAUGAGAUGGAAAAGAUUUUGAGUUAUUUAUGACACUAAUAUGGAAAGGAUGGAGUUUGCGGCCUAUCAAUUAAAGGAUGUGGCAUACCAUUGGUACAAAGAGUGGAAUAAGGCAAAGGAUGAUGUUGAGGAGUCAUCUUAGUAGGAGGAUUUCUCUAAUGCAUUUCUGUACCGCUUCUUUCCUCAAAAGUUUAGGGUAGAAAAGGUAGAGGAGUUUGUUAAUUUAAGGCAAGGUAGGAUGUCUGUCAAAAAGUAUGCCUUGAAAUUCCAUCAGUUGUCUUAGUAUGCUCCGAAGAUGGUUUCUAACAUGAGGGCUAGGAUGCAUAAGCUUUCCUUGAGACUGUCUCGUGAGUUGAUCCUUAAGAGCAAGGUUACGUUGUUGAUCAAUGAUAUGGACAUCUCUAGAUUAGUUUUGUAUAUGCAAUAAGUGGAGGAAAAGAAAAAGAAAUAAGUUGAGAUUGAUGCGAGGUAGAGAAAAAGGUCUCAAUUAUCUAAACAAAGUGGAGGCCAACAGUUUAGUUGGUAAGAAGUCCAAGAGGAAAAAUUGGGUGAGUCCCAACGCCUAUUCUACGUUUAGUGCUUCCUACUCGAUGCCAUCGGGAGAUAGACAUUUUCAGAGUUGUAAUUUUUUUAUGGAACAAGGUGCCCAGUCUUGGGCAGUGAGGCCCAAUCGACAUCGACCUACACUCCUUGUAGAUUUUGUGGUCAGCAUCAUCGUGGCUAGUUUGAUAAGGGAAGGAACAGAUGUUUUAGAUGUGGCCAUAUUGGGUAUAUGCAGUGAGAGUGCCCUUCUUUAGUAGCCUCUUGGGCCAACAGGCCCCGAUUGCUACUUCAACUAUUCCUGCACUGAAGGGUGUUGCUUCUGUUUUUGCUUCUUUUUUGGUACCGGCACUGGCAGGAAUUGGUUAUAUGCACUUGUUACUCGCCCGGAAUCUGAGGCAUCUCUGGAUGUUGUUACAUGUAUGUUUAAAUUUUUCUUUCGUUACGUGUAUUGUUUACUUGAUCCAGGGUCCUCUCUCUCUUUAUGACCCAUUUGUGUCUAUGCAUUUUGGUUUUGGUCUUGAGCAAUUCCUUUGUAGUUGUUAAAAGAAUCCAUAAGGGGUUUGUGGUAUCUGUUAAUGGUAGGGAAACUCUUGUAGACUUGAUAGGCUUGGACAUGGUUGAUUUUGAUAGGCUUGGACAUGGUUGAUUUUAAUAUUAUUCUAGGAAUGGAUUGGUUGGAUUCGUGCUACGCUUCUUUAGAUUGUCGGACUCGUAAGGUCAUGUUUAAAUUCCCUAAUGUUCUAGUUAUUGUAUGGGAAGGGGUUCUUUAGUGCCUAGAGGGAGGUUCAUCUCAUAUCUUAGAGCCUAAAAGUUGAUUUCCAAAGGGUGUUUGUAUCAUUUAGACCGAGUUAAAGAUUCUAACUAAGAAGGUCCUUCUCUAGAAUCCAUUCUCGUGGUUAAUGAGUUUCCAGAAGUCUUUCAUGAUGAUCUUCCUGGCAUUUCUCUCGAUAGGGAAAUCGACUUUAGGGUUGAUCUUGUUUUAAACACACGUCCAAUUUUCAUCCCUCCUUAUAGAAUGGCUCAGGCAGAGUUGAAAGACCUUAAAGAGUAAUUGAAUGAUCUCUUAGAUAAAGGUUUCAUUCGUCCUAGUGUGUCUCCUUGGGAUUCUCUUGUGUUUUUUGUGAGUAAGAAGGACGAUUCCCUUCAAAUGUGCAUUGAUUAUUGUCAGUUGAACAAGGUAACCAUAAAGAAAAAGUAUCCUCUUCCUAGGAUCGAUGAUUUGUUUUAUCAGCUUCAAGGUGAGAAGUGUUUCUCUAAGAUUGAUCUUAGGUCGGGUUAUCAUCAGCUUAAGAUUAAGGAAGCAGAUAUCCCUAAGACUGCCUUCAAGACCUGGUACGGUCAUUAUGAGUUCCUAGUUAUUUCUUUUGGGUUGACCAAUGCCCCUGCGACAUUUAUGGACUUGAUAAAUAAGGUCUUCUAUCAGUUUCUGGAUUUUUUUGUCAUUAUCUUCAUUGAUGACAUCUUGGUGUAUUCUAAGAGUGAUGCGGAUCCUGUCGAUCACCUUCGUGUUGUGUUUCAAACCUUAAAGAAUCAUCGUUUGUAUGCCAAGUUCUCAAAGUGUGAGUUUUAGUUGAACGUUGUGACUUUUCUUGGUCAAGUUAUCUCUAGUGAAGAAAUCAUGGUGGAUCCACAAAAGGUUGUAGCAGUUAAGAAAUGGCCUAGACCUGCGACUCCAAUCGAUAUUUGGAGCUUCUUGGAUCUAGCCUGUUACUAUAGGAGAUUUGUGGAAAGUUUUUCGACUGUAGCUACCCCAUUAACUAAGUUGACCCCGAAGAAGGUCAAAUUCAUAUGAUCGAAUGCGUGUGAGGGUAGUUUUGAGAAGUUAAGGGAUAAGUUGACUUUAGCUCUAGUUUUGACCUUUCUCGAGGGUAAUGAUGUCAUUGUAAUGUAUUGUGAUGCUUUUCGUGUUGGGAUUGGUUGUGUAUUGAUGUAGUAUAGUAGGGUGGUGGCCUAUGCUUCUAGGCAAUUGAAAGUUCAUAAGAAGAACUACCCUACUCAUGAUUUGGAGUUGUUGGCCAUGGUAUUUGCGUUGAAGAUUUGGCGACACUAUCUCUAUGGGGUUCACGUUGACAUAUUUUCUGAUCAUAAGAGCCUACAUGUGUGUUUACUCAAAAGGUGUUGAAUCUCAGGCAGGGGAGAUGGCUUGAGUUACUGAAGGACAACGAUAUGAGUCUCCAUUACCAUCCAAGUAAAGCUAACGUAGUUGUUGGUGCUCUUAGCAAGUUAUCCCUAGGGAGUUUAGCUCAUGUGGAUAAGGAUAAGUGGGAGUUGGUGAAGGACAUUCACCGUUUGGCUAAUCUUGGAGUUUGUCUCACAGAUUCUAACGAUAGUGGUGUAUUUGUGCAUCAGGUAUCGCAGUCGUCUCUUGUUGUUAAGAUAAGGAAAAAGCAAAUGUUAAAUCUCGAUUUUAUGAGUAUUAAGAGUAGUGUGGAUCAACAAAAGGUUAUCAAUUUUAUGAUUGGUGGUGAUUUGUAUCUUGAGGUACCAAGAUAGGCUAUGCAUUUCCAAUGCCGAUGGAUUGAGGGAAAGGAUUAUGGACGAGUCUUAUGGAUCUUGGUAUGUUGUUCAUCUCGGUUCUAUGAAGAUGUAUCAUUAUCUUAGGGAGUUUUAUUGGUGGAAUAAUAUGAAAUGAGAUGUGGCUAGCUAUGUGGCUAAGUGUAUGGUGUGUCAAUAAGUGAAAGUUGAGCACUUGAGACCCGAGGGUUUAUACCAAGAGAUUGAGUUGCCCAGAUGGAAGUGGGAGGCAAUUAAUAUGGAUUUCGUCACUGGUCUUCCCAAUAUCGGAAUCAAUGUCAUUCUAUUUGGGUUAUUAUGGAUAGAAUAACAAAGUCCGCUCACUUCCUAUCGGUGAGGACUAGUUACGCGGUGGAGAAUUAUGCUAAGUUGUAUCUUGCAGAGAUUGUGAAGUUUCCUAGUGCUCUAGUUUCUAUCAUCUCAGAUCAUGGUACUCCAUUCUCAUCUCACUUUUGGAAGUUGUUCCAGAAAGGUUUGGAGACUAAUGUGUGCCUUAAUACCGCUUUCCACCCUCAGUCGAAUGGACAAGCGGAGAGGACUAUCCAAACUUUGGAAAAUAUGCUCCAUGUAUGAUUGAUUAUGGUGGUAGUUGGUACGACCACUUACCUUUAUGGAAUUCCCCUAUAACAAUAGUUACCAUUCUAGCAUUGGUAUGGCUCCUUUUGAGGCGUUGUAUGGUAGGAGAUAUCAUUCUCCUAUUGGGUGGUAUGAAGUUGGUGAGGGUAAGUUGCUUUGCCCUGAUUUGGUUCACCAAGCCUUGGAGAAGGUGGAGGUGAUUCGUGAUAGGUUGAAAGCCGCUUAAAGUCUCCAAAAGUCCUCUACGAAUGUUAGGCAUAGGGAUUUGGAGUUUAAUAUUAGCGAUUGGGUAUUCUUGAAGGUAUCUCCCAUGAAAGGAGUGAUGCAGUUUGGUAAGAAUGGGAAGCUUAGUCACCGAUAUGUUUGUCCAUAUUUGAUUUUGAAAAGGGUUGGUUAUGUUGCCUAUGAGUUAGAGUUUCCUUUUUUCUAGCUUGAGCUCCAUUCAUUCGGUUUUCCAUGUCUCUAUAUUGCGUAAAUGUAUAGGCGAUCCUUCAUUGGUUGUUCCCUCGGAAGAUGUUGGUAUUUCGAACUCUUUGUCCUAUGAGGAGGUCCCGGUGAAGAUCUUGGAUUAACAAGUUCGCCGAUUUUGAACGAAAGAGUUGGCAUCGAUAAAGGUUCUAUGGAGGAACCAAAAAUCCAAGGAAGCUACUUGGGAGGCGGAAAAGGACAUGAAGUUUAAGUAUCUGAAAAUGUUUUUCAAUCCAAAAACUCGUGCUUGAGGUAUGUGUUGAUUUUCUUUUAUUUGUUGUAUUCCUUUGUUUUCUUACUUGGUUAAGAGGUGAGUUUGAUGUGAGAUGUUAUGUUAACUUGUGCUUGUGCUUGCCUUAACCGUCAUUCGAGGAUAAUGAUACAAGUGGGGGAGAAUUGAAACACCUUGGCUCUGAACCAUUAGAGAAUUUCCUAAGUUUGAGAUUCUGGGUAGACUACAGUUUAAGCAUACAUCUCGUCUGCUAGGGUACGGUAUAGUACCCACCCUAUUGUAUGAUGAUCAGUCUAGGUUGAUAACAUUUUUUCCAAGGUACGGUUAGGCCUCUAGUCGUAUGUUAAGGUACCAGUCGUAAGUUGGCGUAUGAUGUUUUGAGCUUGACCUAGUGCAUUCUGCCAAGGGUACGAGUUGUAGGGUACUUCUCAAACCUUAGGGUACUACUUGGCCUUGCAUGGUCAUAUGUUGAUCAGUAUGGGGGACCAAAGGGAGGUUUAGGGUAUUAGUAAAGGUACCACUCGUACCCUAGGGUACGAUUUAGGUGUGGAAGUCAUACCCUCUUACGUAUGUUUUUCAGCCUUUAAGCUAGGGAUAUUUUAGACAUCUCCCGCCCUUAAACCCUUAUGACCCACGACUUAUAACAUUUUUGUUCCUUCAUUCUUCACUUGGACAAGAUCAAAACAUUCCAAAACACUCUCUAAACUUCUUCAACAAGAUUAGAGGUUAGGGUUCCAGAGGUAUUCUUUUAGAGGCUAAAGCGGUCAAGUUCUUUUCUUGAAUCAUCUUGUAUAAGGCAUGUGUCUCUACCCUCAUUGUUAUUUCUCAAAUAUUAUAUGUUUUAAACAUUGAUUUUGAUUCUUAAAUAAUAGGUUUUGAAACAAAAUGUUGAGGGUUUGAAGCAUAGUGAUGAGUAUUGUUUACUCUUGUUUAAACUUGUGUUUAUACAUGUUUUUGGUGAUAGUUUGCACAUGUGGGUGCUUGUUGAUUGUGGUUUAACAAAUGGGUCAUGAGUAACCCAAAUCUUGAUGAAUUUUACAUUGAUUUUGGUCAUGGUAAAGGUAUGCCCUCAAGGUGUUUGAGAAAAUGUCUAAGAGAAAUAACUAAUUACAUGUUAAUAGUGCUUUGAACUAAGACAAUGGCAUAAUAAAAAAGAAUCAUUGGUAAAUGAAUUUGUAAAGGCCUUGUCGGCCAUGUAAUGAGUUAAUUGGUUACCUUGGUGGUUUGAUUGGUUAAUAAGGGUUUGAGUCCUUAAGUAUAAAAUUGAAUUGUGUUUGAACUUAAGCUUUCUAUAAGAAAACUAAUGAAGAAUGAAUGGUUUGGUAAAGGUCUUGAUGACCAUAAUUUGACUUGAAUAGUGAUUGAAACUAAGUCAUUGGCCUAUUAAAUUGAUUGAUUGAUAAAUGGCUCAUAAAGACCUUGUGGUCAUGUAUGGUGUUAAACUGUAGCCAUGAUGGCUUGAAUUGGCUAUGUGGGUUAGAGUCCUUAAAAUGUUCAACUGAGUGGAUAUGAAUGAAUGGACAAAGGAUUAGAGUCCCUAUGUAGACUAGGAAUUGACACGAGGUCUUGUAGUUAGAGUCCACUUGUUUAACAAAAUGACUUAUGGUUAGAGUCUACUUGUCUAAUAAAACGACUUACGGUUAGAGUCCACUUGCUUAACAAGACGGCUUGUGGUUAGAUCCCACUUGCUUAAUAAGACGACUUGAGGUUAGAGUCCUCUUUCUUAAUGUAAUCGGGAAGUUCAAACUUCCUAAUCGACGUAAGUGGGAUAUUAGAGUCCUCCACUUUAUGUAUUAUGAUUGGGUGUUUCGAAAUGCAUACUAAGGCCUUGUUUUCUUUCCCGACACUCAAUGUAUCUAUAUAUCUACAUAUAUGCCUAUGUAUAUAAAUGUGGUUGCAUGUGAUGGUUUGACUUGGUUUUGGAAUGAUGACAUAUUUUAUCCUUAUCCUUGAGUUAUAUGCUUGUGCUCCAACCGCUAACCGUCUCUAGACACUGUGUCCCACGUGACACAGAUGUCAGAGCUUCUUCUUCUCUCUUGCGCAGUGACCAAGUGUUCGAGUAGAUCGUGUGUUGACUUUUAAGUGGAGAGCUUCCAUACUUCGGAAGGCAUACAUUUUAUGAUCUUUCUAUCUUAUGUCAUAAACUUGUUUUAGACUGGGUUUUUGGCGAUUAUCGGGGGUAUGUCCCAACAUAUUAUAAACAUCGAAUUAGUAGAGGCUUGUGGAUAACUGUGGACUUGGGCAUGUUGGCUUAGUAUGUGACAUUAAUGGAUUGAUUACACACUUCUUAAGUUAUGAUUAUUAGUCUUGUUUUCCGCUAUCUUGUUAUAUAUUUGAAGUUUAUCCGAUACUUAUGGAAUGAUGUGACGGUUGGAUUAGGUUAAUGGGGCAAUCUCCGGUCCUUGCAGGGCUUGAGAUGUCUAUUACGUCUCGUGUCAUUUACCUUGGAUAUUCAACACUUACAAGUAGAAUUAGAAGCAAAAGUUGUUGGGUGUAACGCCCGACAACCUUGUUAUGGGUGGUGUGAGACUUAAAAUUUUUUGAAAAGCCAACUGGAAGAGCUAAAAUUAGAGGAGUAAAAAAUAGCUCAUACUCUUAUAGAUAAUGUCAUGCUUAAGGAUAGCAUACUAGAAUUAUAUGGGGGUGUAAAGAAGGAUGCAAUUCCUGAGUUGGGGCGUAUUGGACCUCAUUUAAUACAUUGUUCCACAUUGUGUUUGGAUAGUUAGAUCUUGAUAGUGCCAUCCGAAAUUGUAGAAGAGUGCAAAGAGGAGGAAGAAUAUGUCUAUAUCUUGGAAUUUGUAAAGACAGUAUCAGAAAAAUACAUUCCUCAUGAAAAGGCCAAGAGGUACACUUUCAUAUCUACUACUUGGUUCCUUUAUCUUCAUACCAUCGCUGCGUGAGCAUAAUAGAAAAGCAGAAAAAUAAUUAGGGGUAAAAUUCGUAAGUUCAAAAUGGAGAGAUAAAAUUGGAGGCAAACUCUUGAUCUACCUUGAUAAAGUUUGAGUAAUCAAGGUUUCUAUGGGCUUGUUGGAGAAGCUUGAGUACCCAACCAAGUCCCGUCAUGCCGCGAUGUGAAAUCAAGCUUUGUUUGGGAGGCAACCCAAUAUGUUUUGUUGUUUGUAUUUGUAUACGUGAUUGGCAUUAGAUCUCUUCAUCUAUGAUGCCACAAGUAUGUUCCUAACUUUCUUGUUUUGUAGAGGUUUGAUGCAUUGGGGACAAUGCAUGAUUUUAAGUUGGGAGUGGGGCUGCUUAUGGGUCUUGAUGUCCUCUUGGAGUCUUUGUUGUCGUGCCUCUUUUCCCCUAAAGUCCUGUUCCGAGUAGAGCUGACAUGUUUAAGUGUAUUGUGUUUUUUUAGUGAUGUUUUAUGGUUAACUAAGAGAAAAAUAAGUAUCUAAGGCAGUUGAUAUAUUUUUAUUAAUUUUUGAGAUAAAUGAUAAUACCUCUCCAAUUGUCUAUUUUUGAACUGUGUGUAAGUAUAUAUAUGUGACUAUUAUGGAUCUUGUUAUGGCAUUAGAAUUAGGGACAUGAUAAUCAUUGCUAACAAUUACAUGAACCGAAUAGGUAGUAGAUUUGUGAUAUAACUCUGUGCCAUGUAUGUGUGAGACGCUACUUAGUUUCCUUUGUAUGUUAACUCCAGAACUUGUCUGACUAGUCUUGCCUAGAUUGUAGGAUAGUUGGUUAGGAAAGGAUCAUUGGCCAUUUUUAUGAUAGUCCAUUUUUAGCCUAAAUGGCCUUCCAUGCAUGAAUUGUAUCCUUUGAUCCCUAAGUUUGAGCCUUAUAGCCUAUUUUUCUUAUUACACCUUUCACAUUCCUAUUUGUGUUACAAUAACCUGUUUUGGUCUGUUUCUCCUUGGACAUGGUGCACCUCAACUCAAAAAAUUGCCUAAUUCGAGGGUGGCUAUCAUAGGGGUGUGUGAUGUAAAAUGGGUAUGUAAAAGGGUAAAAUGAGAGGAAAAAAAGUAGGGCUGGGUGUGGUAGAAAAAAAAAGAAAAAAAAAAGAAAAUUGUGAAAAAGAAAGAAUAAGAAACCACACCCAACCAGAAUGUGCAAAAAAAGAUUAAAAGGAAUAAAUAAGGGUGGAGUAAACGGAAAUUGGUUAAAGUGUGGACCCAAAGUUAGUGUAGUUCCAAGGAGGCUUAGUCACUUGAUAUAUCAUAUGUACCAUACCAGCCGCUCCCAAACCUAUAUUACAAGCCGAAUAAAGUCCUAUAGUGAUCCUAACUUCACUGUCUAAAAACUAAGAUAAAGAAAAUAAGGGAAGUUUAUGGUAUUUGACAUGCAUUGAUUGGAACUUCUUUUGUGAGUGUCUCUUAACCGUUCCUGCACUGACAUGUAUUAUUUCAUAUGAGUGAGUGGGACUUCUUUGUUGUGAGGGCACAUGGUUUGUGUUACUAGUUGCUUACUUGUUUGGGUAGAGUAACUUGUAUAUAUGCAUGGCUUUUUGUUGCAAUUGUAAUGCCAUAGAUUAAUUCCUUUGUGUAACGUUGUUGUGCUUCAUUAAUAUUCACAGUUGGGUUUAAAGUAUUAAACUUGGAGAAGGUAAUGAUCUUGAGCUUAAAUUUGAUGAUUGGCUUCCAUAGGUAUCUUAAGUUUCUCUUGGUUAAGCAUCGUCGUAUUAUUUUGUUAUGUUUUGUUGCCUGAGUACAUGCAACAUUCUAAGUUGAGGGUCUUGAUAUGCUAUAGAAAUAUAACACUAACUAUGCUUAAAACUAUGAGAAUAUGCAUGUACUUAAGACUAUUUUGUUAGAUUUGAUGUGUUUUUUGAGUGUUUUGCAGGAAAUUAGGUUUCAGAUGCUAAAUUCAAGAAAAAAAUGAAAAGUGAUGUUUUUGGCUACUUAAUUGAUCUAUUUUUGGUAUUCGCAACUCUUUUCGGAUGUUCGUGACCAAAGCAUGUGAUGAAAGUUGAAGAUUUGAAGCUUGGUUGCAAGUAUUAGAAAGCACGGGACUUACCUAUGUCUACAUGUGGAGCACAUGUAGCACAUGUGGUCUGUAUAAUACUAAGGUAAGUACCGAAAUUGAAGAUCACUAGAGUAAAGGAGCUGAAAAAUAACUUUCAGCACUUACAUAUAUCAACAUAUAUCAACGUGUGGACCACAUGUGGGUAAGGUAAAUGCCAGAAGUACAAAAUCCCGAGAGCGGCAGUUGCAGUAAAUUUUGUCUGUGCACAUGUGGUUGCUACAAGCGCCUAGCCUCAGGCUACAUAUGGCACAUGUGCCUAAGGCCAGGCCGUAUGUGGACACCACAUGUGGCCACCGACCUCAACUUUAUCGAAUCGUUCUGAAAUCAUUUCCCAGGAUUUCCAUGUAUCCCAAUUACACUCCUAUGAUGUUUUUAAGUCCUAUUAUGUAUGGGUAAUUAUGUUUUUCUAUUUUAAUUAGGAUUUGAUUUCUAGGGUUGUCCGUAAUCUAUAAAUACCCUUUAGUCUUUGUUUAGUCAAUUCAUUCAGAUAUUCACAUAUUGAUUGAUUCAGAAGGAGGCCUUUUCGGGUCAAACAUCUUAUUGUUCUUGAUUUGUUAUUCAAUUGAAGACUGUGUGAUUUCUUCUCUUAUUAUUGUGAGAUUGAUUUUGUAAUUUUUUCUGUGGAUUCAAUGAUUGAUCUCAUAACUAUGAGUGGCUAAUUCCAUUAGCUACGGUUGUGGGAACCCUGGCGAAUUAACGAAGUAGAGAAAGUGCAUCAUUCUAGAUAAAGAUUCUUGCAUGUAUUGGGUUUUCUUUAUUCUUAUUGAUUUCUUAGUGGUGGCCAACGUUAAGAUAUCGCCUAGAUUAUUUCUACUUACUCCAAAAAAGGAAUACUUACUAGGAAAAGAAGAUCACAACAGUAAUUUGAAGAUUAAUGGUCGAUCCACGCUAAUAGGUAUUAUCUAAGUAAGAUUGUUAGCUAUCAUCUAAUAACUAGAGACCCAAAAGGUAAUAGUUAACUGGGAUUCAGGAUAAUUGUUAGUAAGGCGACAUCCUGAGACUCAAAAGGUAAAGGGUAAAAUCCAUCAACUAGUCCAAAAGACGGUUGAUGGUACAUAACUUAUCAAAUUUUGCAUGCAAGAUUUUGGAAUAGUUCGACAAUGCAUAAUAAGUCCACUGAGUUGAGAAGCCAAGGGGAACACAAGCCUAGUGUUCGUCUUAGAUUGUCUACAACUAAAAAAGCAACCAAGCGUUAUUACUUUUAGCUUGUUAGUACAAAGCCCCCUUUUACUUCUUCGCACCGCCUGGCGAUUUCAAUACGCUCAAAAUAGAUCUCCGGUCUAUUCCCUGUGGGAUCGACCCCAACCUAGUUGAGUUACUAUAUUUGACAGCAACCGCUUUAUCCUUCUAAGGAAGGGUAGUUUGGGGGUUAUCAGCUGACUGAGCAAAAUCAUAAUAUAAAUAUAAUAAAAUGUGAGAUAGUAAGAUAAGUGAGAGGAAAAUGGCAAAAACCUAGAAUAACACUCCAGAUACUGAAGGUAACUAACCAAACAAAUAACAUAAAGAUAGAGCAUAAUUAUAAAUAGCAUAACUGGCCCCUAUAUGCCUAGGAUAUGCAACAAAAGUAAAUAAUCCAAUGUUGGAUAUGCAACAAAAGUAAAUAAUCCAAUGUUGGCCUCCAUAAUCCCGAUGGAUACAAUUAAGAGAAGUGAAAACAACAAAUAUUCCGACCAUUCAAAUCUCAAAAAUGUAAUCAUGGAUCCUCUCUCACCAUAAGCACCGGACUCGAGUCGAUUCCAUAACCAUCAUAAAUAAUCUCUCAAUAUCGGACUCGAAUCAAAAAUAAAAUCUCAUAUGCCAGACUUGAAUCGAGAAUAAUAUCAGAAAUAUCAUAUUUAAACCAGAAGUAAUAUCAUCACUUGCUGGACUUGAACAGGUAUUAAUAUCAUAAUCGCGCAACUUGAACUGGUCUUAAUAUCUCUCUAAAACAAUCCUGGAAUAAGCCAUAGUAUGCCUAAAGCCUCGUUGGGCUUAAGAAUGUGAAAAAGAUAACGUAUAAAGGUCUAUUAAGUCUACAAGGAUCUAUCAGUAACCUUUGCCUAAGGUGAGCCGUAGGGGCCCACUUCUAACCACCAAAAUCCGUUCUAAGGUAAUCAACACCCAAAAUUAGGCUAAGAUUCCAAAUCACCCUACAAUGUACUAAAUAAACUUCAUUGCAUCCUAAGAUUGCAAUUCAACCUAAGGAAUGGGUAAUUAAGUCGAAUAUGCCUAAUCACGGUUUACUAACCAAGUAAUCUAAAUUCACUAAAUAUGCCACUAAGUCAUAAUUCCCAAUCCAAAACUAGCAUAGAAUUAUAUAGAUACUACAAUUAAUCUCAAUCUAAGAGAAGAGUAAUCCUAGCCUACCUAUACAUCGAAGAAAGACCAAUAAGGUCCCUAAAUUGGCGAUUUUCCUUUCCAAGAAGCCCCUGCACAAUGCCAUUCUAUUUAAAUAGUGAUCUACACAUUAAUACGAGAAUAAUGAUACUCAUGUUGCAUUUUAUGCUUAAGGUCCAAAAUCAAGUCAAAAUCUCAUGUGGGUCAUGCUCGCGGAAUCGCACUUUUUAAAUCGUCAACACGUCCCUUUAUGCUCAAGGAUCAUUUAACCUUAAGAAUGGAUAAAUUCCGAGCUCAAACCACAUUAAAAUCAACCCAUACAGAAGCUAUGGAUUUAUGACUAAAUUGGGGAAUGAACACAGGAAUUAGACAAAAACUUACAAGGAUUAUGACAAAAAAAUGAUGAUUCCAAGCUCACCAACACCCCAUGAUCAAUCUUUCAAGUUUCCACGCUUUCUAGGACUUUGAAGCUAUUGGACUUGGAGAAAAUUGGAGAAAAUCAGUUGAAAGGCUGAAUUAAAUGCCCUCCCAGGUUGUGCUUCUUAAGUAGUCACUUGACGGCUUAAUCGAUCACCUCUAAAGCGGCAUAGUACCGUUAAAGCGAUCCCUGGCAUGGAUAAACCCUUUGCUAAAGUGGACAAGAUGUCCCUUAAGAGACAUCCAUUUAAGCAAUAAGGGUUCCGCUAAAGUGACUAAGGCGGGACCAUCCAUAGGCGCAAAAAUGACCACUUGGUUGCUAAAGAGGCCUCCACUAGAGCAACAAUCAUCCACUUUAGUGGUCGCACCUGCUAAGUCUAUGCACCAGCUAAACUUGGAUUUUGCUAAGUUUCCACCGACCCCUCAGAAUUCAUCUAGAAUCCCAUGAAUGCAAACAAACUAUGCUACCCUAUUGAUUUGAUAUUUUAGCUUUAGUGAUGCUAUCGAAAUUUCCAUUCGAGGUUGUUUCGAUGAAAAGUAGGUCCUGCACUAAAGGGCCAGUUUUAUCAAAUUCUGCCCAAUAGCCCAAAAUGAGUCUUAAAGCCUUAGGAUCCAAACCAAAGGUCCCCUAGUAUAAAAUCAACGUUUUGGAGCUUAUAAAACUGUCUUAAUUAGCAUAAGAGGCCAUUAACCUAAAGUUUACACCCAAUAGCAUAUCUUUACUAUCAAAGACUUCUAAAUAGAGAAUUGACUUUUAAAUUCCAACAAAUUGUCUGGUAACUAAACAGUCAGCUCUGGCAAGUCCAAAUGACAUGGGCUAACUAUGAGAAAACUCUAAAUGAAAAAAAAAAGUGUGGAAAAGAAGAAAAUAACAUGGAGUAUCAUUACACUUGUGUGCCUAGAAACUUAUUAUUUAUUAGUUCAAAAAUUUUUAGAUGGGAGGUGGAAAUUCCCAUGGUGUAUUGAAAUUGAGAUAAGAAGAGUACAAACAUUGAUUAAGAAAGUGGAAGUGGUGUUGGAACGUACCUUGGGAGAAUGCAACAAAGUAGCAGAUUUUAUUGAUAACAAAGUUUUCUAUUUUGUAGGUACAGAGAGUGUAAGUUAUUCUACAUUUCGUCAAUUACCAAGAGAAGCUAAAGCUCUACUCAACAUGGACAAAGAAUAAUUUCCUAAUAAGCUACAUAAUGGAAGUUUUAAUGUUGGGGGAAGGUAGAUGCAGCAAGAAUUGUGGUUCAACAACACAUCAACAGAAAAAUAUAGGCGCAAUUUGCAAUAGUCACGACAAUAAUGCAUAAUCAGCAGAUUAAGAAGAUACAAAUGAUAGAGAGUAUAAAGGCACAACAUUCACAAUAGGAGCAAAAACUAGGUACUUUGGCAGAACCAUCGCAGAAAGGAGCACAAUUCCAUAAUAAUUUCACAUAAAAAUUCUUGUGAGUGAAGGAUUGCAUCAGACAAAUUCAAAGAAUUUCUGUGAGAUAAAUAAAGCAUUUAGCUGAUAUAAAUGAUAAUAGAUCUUCUACUUUCACUAUCUUAGACAAUGGUAUCAACUCCUCGAUGAGCUCAACAUGUCAAGGGGCGAAACUGAAGCAAAAUUGACAAUUAUAAUCAUGUUAUUACAUUAACGGGUAGAGGAUUGCCACUUAUCUCUAGGAAGGAGCUUAGAUCUACGGUGAGCUGAGGUGAAGCAGUCUUCGAUUAGGCUGAUUUCAUGAUGUUCGUGAGACUAGUAAAACUUGUUGAGUGAACCACCCAAAACUCAGCUGCUUCUUUCAAAUCACGAGCUCCAUCAACAUCAGAGGAACCUUGUCUUUCAUCUACUUGUUCGAUUCAUUCUACAUCUGUGCAAUAAUGGAGAUUUCACAGUGAUGAAGAUAUAGAAGACGACUUUCUGUUUUUCCCUUUCGUUUGAUUCUGUUUUGCUUUCUCG
rnacentral:lncRNA from 1 species